GACGAACGCUGGCGGCGUGCCUAAUACAUGCAAGUUGAGCGAUGAAGCUUGGUGCUUGCACCAAUUUGAAGAGCAGCGAACGGGUGAGUAACGCGUGGGGAAUCUGCCUUUGAGCGGGGGACAACAUUUGGAAACGAAUGCUAAUACCGCAUAACAACUUUAAACAUAAGUUUUAAGUUUGAAAGAUGCAAUUGCAUCACUCAAAGAUGAUCCCGCGUUGUAUUAGCUAGUUGGUAAGGUAAAGGCUCACCAAGGCGAUGAUACAUAGCCGACCUGAGAGGGUGAUCGGCCACAUUGGGACUGAGACACGGCCCAAACUCCUACGGGAGGCAGCAGUAGGGAAUCUUCGGCAAUGGACGAAAGUCUGACCGAGCAACGCCGCGUGAGUGAAGAAGGUUUUCGGAUCGUAAAACUCUGUUGGUAGAGAAGAACGUUGGUGAGAGUGGAAAGCUCAUCAAGUGACGGUAACUACCCAGAAAGGGACGGCUAACUACGUG
rnacentral:rRNA from 1 species